AAAUUGGGGUUCCAAAGCACACUUGUUUACUGCCCACAUUUAUCUCUUUAGCUCUCCGGUUUGAAGCCAAUUAUUCCCUUCAAAUCUCCUAAAAGCAGUUGAGGAAUCAACUGGGCAAGUGGGAUCACAAGUGCAUACCUUUAAAGACUGGCUUUCCUUCACUGUGACUGAUGAGACACUAACCAAGCUGGGGGAUCAAACAAGGGAUGCUUCACCAAGAAUUCCACAUGAAUGGUUUACGAUGUUGGUGAAAUGUUCUCUAUGA
rnacentral:lncRNA from 1 species